rnacentral:tRNA from 1 species
AUUUAUAUAAUUUAUUUAAAAUAUUAUAUUUUCAAUAUAAAAAUAUUAAUUUAAUUAUAAAUA